GAGGAUCAAAAAGGAACGUGCUGUCUGGGAGCUCAUAAAAUUGUUAGUUGGGCGUGAGUCUGAUAUAUGUGUGUUUAAUGUGGGCGCGUGUACAAUUAUUAUCGGCAGUGAUCUGGAGCCGCUUAUUGUUUACCGCAGCUGCGUCUGCGUGCGUCUUUACCUUUAAGGACCUGCGACAUUUUUUCCCCCAUACGAACAUCCAGUUGUCUACCGCCGAGAAUCUCUGCUGUAGAGCUGGAUUUUAGAGAAGAACGCGCGGAUGGUUUCUUUUAACUGAUCUCGACGUUUAUGCUGUAAUUUGCGUCGGCCGAACUCGAGCGCCGGAGGGGCGCGAGAGGACGACACCGCGCUCGAGAACAUCGCGUGGAGGAGGGGACGAAGACACAGAGGGGGUGUUCACUCAAAAUAUACUAUCCCUUUAAAACAAGGGGGACACGGCGGUGGGGGAGAGAUAGCGGGGCAGAGAAGACGGGAUAAAAAAAGAAAAGGAAGAAAGAGCGAGGGUGGGAGGGUGAGAGUAUUGCAGGAAAAAAAGGAAAACAUGUCAUCCUCCGUGGGGGAGCCGUGGACGACGACCGGCGGAGCGCUCGCCAGACACGAAUGAGAUUUAACGCAACGCCGAGGCUCGCUCAGAUGCCGCUCGGGGCCUGGAUGAAGAAUCUUACAAUAAAAUUGAUGGCAUUUUUAUUUUUAACCACGCUGUGCGACGCUGAGAGCAAAUGAAACAUUAAACUGCCAUUUUAAUUGGGUUAUUUCUGCAUGAAUUAUCACACAGCGGUCUAAUUAAUAAGAAAACAUUACAUGCAGAAAUUCAUUUUAGAUUAUAUUUUUAAGCAUGAUAGGCCACUGUUAUGUGACAAUGCGGCGUUAAUAGCAUACUGUGACUGACAACUCUCAUUUCUUAUUUUGUACUCUUUAGAAAUAAGUUUAAUAAAUACUAAACUUGCUCGAAUAGUGGAAGGAGACGUUCUUUCGAAUAGUUUAUUUCAAACGGCGUCUCUACUGUUCUACACUUCGUGAUGGAUGCAGCUUGGAGCAAUUUCCUCUUUCAGACUCCGCCUUCACAGUCCCAAACUGACGCGACCCUCCAAUCAGAUCUUCUCCCGGAGCUCACCGAUGCCGCUCAGGACCCGCCCCCUGAGCACAUACCCCCGCCCCCAUCCACGGUGGACACAGCGGCGCUGAGCGAGGAGCCCCUACCGGUGAAGCCAGUCACUCGACCAGUCCGACCUGCACACAUCUGCUCCAUAUGUAAUAAGCAGUUUAAGAACAGUUACAACCUGCGGCGUCACCAGUCUGUCCACACUGGAGUGAAGAUGAAGGACAGAGCCGCUAGAGAGAAAAUAGACGGAGGAAAGGCUGGAGCAGGAGUGGAGAGGCAGACCAUCCCCCUUUCUCUCCUCCAGCUGUCUAUACCUGCCUCCAUACCCACAGCAGUCGACCCCAUGGCCCAGCCUUCCCCAAUCAGCAAUCAGCAGCUAGAGACGGUGGCUGUCUCUAUCGCCCCAGCAACGAUCGCCAUGACAAUGAACCAGCCCCUCCCUACUGCAGUGGUGGUUACUGGGACAAUGGUUCAGGCUGCACCAAAUACCAACAUCAAUGAUAACCUAAGUAAUCCCACCCCGAUCCAAAUAUCUAUCCCAAUUGCAAACCCAUUACCCAUCAAUCCAACUCCCAAUCCUAAUCCCAACCCCAACCCUAACCCCAAUCCAGUCAGGAAGAACCAUGCUUGUGAGGCAUGCGGGAAGGCGUUCAGGGACGUGUACCAUCUUAACCGGCAUCGGUUGUCCCAUUCGGACGAGAAGCCGUACUCCUGUCCAAUCUGCCAGCAGCGGUUUAAGAGAAAGGAUCGGAUGAGUUAUCAUGUGCGGUCACACCAGGGAGGAGUGGAGAAACCAUAUGUGUGUCCGCACUGCGCCAAGGGCUUCUCACGGCCUGACCAUCUUAACAGUCAUGUGCGACAGGUGCACUCCACAGAAAGACCCUUCAAAUGCCCGACAUGCGAAUCCGCGUUCGCUACUAAAGACCGGUUACGAGCUCAUAUGAUCAGGCACGAGGACAAGGUUCCCUGCCACAUCUGUGGCAAACUUCUCUCUCCUGCUUACAUCACCGAUCACAUGAGGGUGCACAACCAAUCACAGCAUCACGUCUGUCACCUCUGCAACCGCAGUUUCACCACACUGACAUACCUGCGUGUCCAUGCCCAGAAGCAUCAUGGGCAAGAGUGGAAGGAGAGUGGGGUCGGUCGUGGCUCAGGCUCAGGUGGGGUGCUGUUAUGCCAUUUGUGUGGGGUACACUGUAAGACACCCACACAGCUUCAGGGUCACAUGGCCACACACGCCAACCAGACGGACCCCAGCGUUUCUUGCCCCAUCAGCAGCAGCACUAGUUCAGUGGCGACAGUGGGCAUAGCCACUCCUGUUUCCAGCCCUCCAGUCACAGUUGGCCUGCUGGUGACUGACUGCUCCAGCAUUGCUCCUCAGAGCCACAGCUAGCCAACAGCACACCAUGAGGAGGGAGGGCGGCAUGGAAGAAUCGGGGGUUAAUGGGUGGGAUGGUAGAAAAAUCUAAGAGGAUGGGCCCAACCUGGGCAGGCUGCCAUGGAAAUGCCAACACAAAGAUUACCAUGGAAACCUACCCGUUAACCCACCCCUCUCAUCCACCUCAAAUCUUGCCGGGACUGAGCAAGAACUGAAUGACUCUCCUCAAAAUAAGUGUGACUUUUGAAUGAACUCAAGAAAUAUCACCCUGUUUCACACUCGCAUAUUUUCUGUGAAGGCAGAGCAGUAAGUCUCACUGGAUUCCUUUUCCCUCGUACGCUUUGAUCUGGUCUGAUGGAUACAGACUGAAAGGGUUUAGAAGAAGAGUCUAGGAAGGUCUGAUGGACGACUGGUUUGGGUGUCAGUACAUUUCCUCGCAGAGUCCCAUGGGAGAGAUCACUGGUUUUAAAUGUAGGCUGUUAUUAAGUGCUGUCCCAGUUCAUUAUUUAAAAAAAAUCCAGUGUUGAGGAAUGUAGAACACUAAGAGGAAUUGACACAUUAUGCCU